ACAGCAUGAUAUACCAUCCUGAACAUGCCAGGUCUCAUUUGACCUCAGAACUAAGAAGGGUUGGGCCUGCUUAUUACUUGGAUGGGGAUAUACAACAUGAAUCCCUAACCCAUUGGAAUCUCAGCAAAAUGCUCUA
rnacentral:rRNA from 14 species